GCAGUCGACGGGAUCUUCGGAUCCGUGGCGCACGGGUGAGUAACGCGUAGGGACCUAUCCUGGAGUGGGGGAUAACUGCUGGAAACGGCAGCUAAUACCGCAUACUCCCCCUGAGGGAACUUGGGGGGCAAAGGUUUCGGCCGCUUUUGGAGGGCCCUGCGUCCGAUUAGCUUGUUGGUGGGGUAACGGCCUACCAAGGCUGCGAUCGGUAGCUGGUCUGAGAGGAUGAUCAGCCACACUGGGACUGAGACACGGCCCAGACUCCUACGGGAGGCAGCAGUGGGGAAUAUUGGACACUGGGGGAAACCCUGAUCCAGCCAUGCCGCGUGAGUGAAGAAGGCCUUAGGGUUGUAAAGCUCUUUCACCUGCGACGAUGAUGACGGUAGCAGGAGAAGAAGCCCCGGCUAACUCCGUGCCAGCAGCCGCGGUAAUACGGAGGGGGCUAGCGUUGUUCGGAAUCACUGGGCGUAAAGCGCGCGUAGGCGGCGGAUCAAGUUAGGCGUGAAAGGCCUGGGCUCAACCUGGGAACUGCGCUUGAUACUGGUUUGCUGGAGUCCGGGAGAGGGUGGUGGAAUUCCAAGUGUAGAGGUGAAAUUCGUAGAUAUUUGGAGGAACACCGGUGGCGAAGGCGGCCACCUGGCCCGGCACUGACGCUGAGGCGCGAAAGCGUGGGGAGCAAACAGG
rnacentral:rRNA from 1 species